GAGGAAAACAACAUCAAUCAUAAUUGGGACACAUAACAUUUGUUUUGGCUCACUAUGGUUAUAACUUUUUUGUUUUCAAUUUUUGGAACAAUUUAAGGCAUGUUCUCAUCAUCUUGAAAAUCUUCAUUCUCAAAGUUGUUGUUGUUGCUGUACUCAUUGUUGCCAUAGGUGUUCUUGUUGUUGUAUUGUUGGUUCAUUGCAGCAAAUUCCUUUGCAUUUUCAUAUGGAUCCCUGGCAUGUCUACCAGCAUUAAUAUCAUAGUAAAAUUUCCCAUUACCCAAGAACCUUGUGUCACUCAUCCCCUGUUGUUGGUGCACUCUGUAAUUGCUAUUCCCAGUGUUGUAACUCUGUUCUUCAUUACUGUUGUAAUUUGUGGAGUAGCUCUGUUCCUGAUUGUUGUUGUAAUUUGUUGGGUUGGUGUUGUAGCUUUUGGCACUCAAUCUUGUUUCAGUAAACUCCUGUUGUGGUUCAUAAUUGUUGUUAUAAUAUGUAUUAGAAGCGUUGUAGUACUCCUCCUCAUUGUUAUCAUUGUUGUUGUACUGUUGGUUGUUGCUGUAAAAACUGUCACCACUAUAGAACUGUUGCUGCUGGUAGUUGUUGUUGCUGUUGUGGCUUUUAGUACUGAAAUCGCUGACGCCGUGGUAGUACUGUUGCUGCUGGUUGUUAUUGCUGUUACUGCGGUAAUUGGUGGGACCACUGUAGAAUUGGUUGUUAUUCAAGUUAGUGGUGGAGGUUGAGGCAUCAAUACUGUGCUUGGAUGAAAAGUUGUCGUUGAAAGUGUUUUCGUUGGUGUUGUCCUCUGCAACAGUUACAUAAGAAACAGGGUUGUAAUUUUUGGGAAGGUAUUUGCUGUUGGGAAAAUUGUUGUCGUUGGUAUUAGUGGUCGUAGAAGGAGUCGAAACAGAUUCAUGACCAUAAAGGCCAUAAGCACCAUUUUCAUUUUCAGGCAUGAAAUUUGGCUCUUGUUGCUCUUUAUUAGGAACAACUGUUGCUGCUUCCUUUUCACCAUUGUUGCUUGGGACUUUGUUGAAAAAUUGACCAUCCCUUGCAUGAAGAACUUGGAGUGAGGUAAAAAGAGCAAGGAGGAAAAUAACAGAGAAACUUUUAACAAUAAAAGCCAUUUCGAAUAGAAAAUCAAAGAAUUUGUGUUGGUGUUAGUUUUCAAUCCCCGGGAUAGAUAGA
rnacentral:misc_RNA from 1 species